UAUGAGGAACCAGGUACCUUAUCCCUGGCGGUAUAAAUAUGAAGGAGCCAUUCGUUUCUUAGCAUAGAGCAGCAGCUGAGCUCAGUUGAUCAGUCCUGAAGGAUUUUAUACUCUUGGUUUGCAAGAUGAAGUUUGCUUCCAGCAUCGUCUGCCUGCUGAUCCUGGCAUCGGCGCUAUUCGCCGCCACCCUAGCCGGCCCGGUGGCCCAACCCGAACCGAUCUUCAAGCUACUCAAGAAAUUGGGCAAGAAAUUGGGCGGUUUCGGGGGUGGCCACGGUUACGGAUACGGUUACGGCGGGGGAUUCCAUCACCUCCCCGUCCCUGUGCCCUUCGGAUACGGAGGGUUUCACAAAGGAUUCGGUGGAUACGGCUGGUAGAGUAGUGAUGAAAGGAAGCUAGCUGUCUAGCUAACUAGCCAUUGUUGAUCUUUGGCAGAAGGAAGGCCAGGUCAAGUGUGAGAUUGCCUUAGUGGAUAUUCUCCAAUGGAAGCCUUACCUCAGUGUACCAUUGUACCCUGGUGGUACCCUACGUCUGACGGUACCACUGACGAAGUUAUAAAUUCCCCCCCUCCCCUCCCCACCUUGUAUUUAUGUAUAUCUGCCAAAGGUUCACAAGCUGAGAUUCGCUGUCUCUCUUAGCUAUAUUUUGAUGUAUUUUGUACUGAGUGGGGUCCACUCUCGUAGAUUUUAGUAAAAACUAUUAAGUAAA